rnacentral:tRNA from 1 species
GCGAGGUAGCUCAGGUGGUUAGAGCGCAGCACUCAUAAUGCUGAGGUCGUGGGUUCGAGUCCCUCCCUCGC